rnacentral:rRNA from 1 species
AAAUUGACUUUUAAUUGGGGCCUUGAAUGAAAGGCAAUAUGAAUAUUAACUGUCUUUAUUUUAUUAAUUAUAAGUUACUUAAAAGGUGAAAAUUCCUUUUUUAUAAAUAAAAAAGACGAGAAGACCCUAGGAGUUUAUAUUAAUAUUUUGUUGGGGCGACACUACAAUAAAAAUUUAACUUGUAGUAAUAGAUUAUAUGAAGCGAUUAUUAUAAAAGUAGUUAAGCUACCCUAGGGAUAACAGCAUAAUUUU